rnacentral:rRNA from 1 species
GACGAACGCUGGCGGCGUGCUUAACACAUGCAAGUCGAACGGUAAGGCCCUUCGGGGUACACGAGCGGCGAACGGGUGAGUAACACGUGGGUGAUCUGCCCUGCACUUCGGGAUAAGCCUGGGAAACUGGGUCUAAUACCGGAUAGGACUCCGGACUGCAUGGUCUGGGGUGGAAAGCUUUUGCGGUGUGGGAUGGGCCCGCGGCCUAUCAGCUUGUUGGUGGGGUGAUGGCCUACCAAGGCGACGACGGGUAGCCGGCCUGAGAGGGUGACCGGCCACACUGGGACUGAGAUACGGCCCAGACUCCUACGGGAGGCAGCAGUGGGGAAUAUUGCACAAUGGGCGCAAGCCUGAUGCAGCGACGCCGCGUGAGGGAUGACGGCCUUCGGGUUGUAAACCUCUUUCAGCAUCGACGAAGCGAAAGUGACGGUAGGUGCAGAAGAAGGACCGGCCAACUACGUGCCAGCAGCCGCAGUAA